UGCUGGCCACCGUAGUGAUUAGGAAUUGCACUAUUCUAGUUUUGUUAUAUGCCGGCCACCGUAGUUAGGAAGUUCGAGGUUGUUCCUGACUGUAAUGACACACGUUCGGAAAAUAGAUGCAUUCUGGGAAGUGAUGUGUUUCAAUGUAGGCUACUCGUGUUUCCUUCACUCAGACAUGUGUGCUGAUUCUUUUCCAAUUUUGAGCAAGGAUAUAAAAUAUGAAGACUGUACUUUUUCAUUAAGAUUGAUAUUUUUGCACAAUGUGUUGUGCUACGCGUAACGCGUCAUUGUAUGCGACGGUCUAAGGAGCAGUCCUAUGCGUCCACCCACCAUGCGUCCACCUGUCCACCACUAUUAUUUUUCUUUCAGAAACAAGUUGCAAGGUCAGAUGUGUUGUCCUCCUACCCCCAACUUCCGGUCCUAGUUCCAGUAGGCCCUUGUUGGUCUACCUGUGAGAGUACCUGAGCUACAUCUCUGAAGUCUCACCGUAAAAUGCUGGAAUACCUGAGCUACUUCCCUGAAGGUGAACACUCGUACAGAGACGCUACGGAGUACUACGCAGAGGCAUGGAGGUACAGUUACAAGGUCAACCCCAGCAUAGAUGAGUACGGACUACACCCAAGCAGAGUCCCGCCGUAAAAUGCUGGAGUACCUGAGCUACUUCCCUGAAGGUGAACACUCGUACAGAGACGCUACGGAGUACUACGUAGAGGCAUGGAGGUACAGUUACAAGGUCAGAGUCCUGCUGUAACACACUGGAGUACCUGAGCUACUUAAAGUGAACACUCGUACAGAGACGCUAAUGUGUUCUUCGCAGAGGCUUGGAGUCCUGCUGUAACACACUGGAGUACCUGAGCUACUUAAAGUGAACACUCGUACAGAGACGCUAAUGUGUUCUACGCAGAGGCUUGGAGGUUGUCAGCUGUUGGCUCAACUGCAAAGCAUGGUGUGACAAGAUGUGUCUUGUGUUCCUGUGACCAGAAGGCUCAACAAUGCAUCAUUCUUACUGACCAGAUGGAUUGUUUCAUGGCCAGAGGAGGACCACUACACUGGCAAUGACUGGGGUUUGGCUUAGGGCCCACCAACCAUAGCGGUCUCCACCCAAACCAACCAGCUGUCAACCGCUGCGCUGCCGCUGGCUUGUGGAUCUAAAGUUUUGUCAUGAUAGCUUGUUUUUGUUUUGUACACAACCCUAUAGAUGAUCGCUUAUUCCAAGGAAGACACACACAAAUAAAUACAAACUACUUUAAGGGACACAAAGGUAUGGAAGGACUCCAGCCACUGAUAUUGGACAUAUGGUGUAAUUUUCUUCUGUAUCUAUCUAAUGCAAAGCUAUACUUGUAACAAUUUCUUAUGUCAUGUGAAAUGAUAAGAUGAAAACUUCACUCAUAUGCAUUAGCUCUUGCAUAAAAUCUUUGCAAUAAUGGACCAUGUUUACGACAGAUUAAUUUCGAACCUAGCCAACCUGGGGCCAAUACACUGAUGAUUGCCUGGGGCCAUAUCAGGAGCGUGCCUGUUCCUGCGUACCUUUUUGAUACUUUUGCUCAUAUACCAUGCAUUAGUUUGUGUAGUGCUGAAUGUAUUAGGGAAGCUGAACACCUUUUCUUUGAUAUAUCUGUAUGGAAGAGACCCCUUAUCACAAACCAAUAAAAUGUCUGCAUUUGAUUGACAUAGAUAAAUAGAUAUAUGUUGUGCUGAAAUAAAGCCAUUUCACUGCU